GGCCUAUUAGCUCAGUCGGUUAGAGCGUCGCGCUCAUAACGCAAGGGUCGCAGGUUCGAGACCUGCAUGGGCCA
rfam:Selaginella moellendorffii unplaced genomic scaffold SELMOscaffold_152, whole genome shotgun sequence.